rnacentral:rRNA from 1 species
AGUCGAACGAAGUCUUCGGACUUAGUGGCGGACGGGUGAGUAACACGUGAGAAUCUGCCCUCUGGAGGGGGACAACCGUUGGAAACGGCGGCUAAUACCCCAUAUGCCUUCGGGUGAAACGCUCCGGCGCCAGAGGAGGAGCUCGCGGCCGAUUAGCUAGUUGGUGGGGUAACGGCCUACCAAGGCAGCGAUCGGUAGCUGGUCUGAGAGGACGAGCAGCCACACUGGGACUGAGACACGGCCCAUACUCCUACGGGAGGCAGCAGUGGGGAAUUUUCCGCAAUGGGCGAAAGCCUGACGGAGCCAGACCGCGUGCGGGAAGAAGGCCUUUGGGUUGUAAACCGCUUUUCUCAGGGAAGAAGACAGUGACGGUACCUGAGGAAUCAGCCUCGGCUAACUCCGUGCCAGCAGCCGCGGUAAUACGGAGGAGGCAAGCGUUAUCCGGAAUUAUUGGGCGUAAAGCGUUCGCAGGCGGCCUGACAAGUCUGCUGUCAAAGCCCGCGGCUUAACCGCGGAGAGGCAGUGGAAACUGCCAGGCUAGAGUGCGGUAGGGUAGGGGGAAUUCCCAGUGUAGCGGUGAAAUGCGUAGAGAUUGGGAAGAACACCAGUGGCGAAAGCGCCCUACUGGACCGCAACUGACGCUCAGGGACGAAAGCUAGGGUAGCGAAAGGGAUUAGAUACCCCUGUAGUCCUAGCCGUAAACGAUGGAGACUAGGUGUGGCUCGUAUCGACCCGAGCCGUGCCGUAGCUAACGCGUUAAGUCUCCCGCCUGGGGAGUACGCGCGCAAGCGUGAAACUCAAAGGAAUUGACGGGGGCCCGCACAAGCGGUGGAGGAUGUGGUUUAAUUCGAUGCAACGCGAAGAACCUUACCAGGGCUUGACAUCCGGCGAACCUUUGGGAAACCGAAGGGUGCCUUCGGGAGCGCCGUGACAGGUGGUGCAUGGCUGUCGUCAGCUCGUGUCGUGAGAUGUUGGGUUAAGUCCCGCAACGAGCGCAACCCUCGUCCUUAGUUGCCAGCAUUUAGUUGGGCACUCUAAGGAGACUGCUGGUGACAAACCGGAGGAAGGUGGGGACGACGUCAAGUCAGCAUGCCCCUUAUGCCCUGGGCUACACACGUCCUACAAUGGUCGGGACAACGGGCAGCGAACCCGCGAGGGCGAGCGAAUCCCAGCAAACCCGGUCUCAGUUCAGAUUGCAGGCUGCAACUCGCCUGCAUGAAGGAGGAAUCGCUAGUAAUCGCAGGUCAGCAUACUGCGGUGAAUUCGUUCCCGGGCCUUGUACACACCGCCCGUCACACCAUGGAAGCUGGCCACGCCCGAAGUCGUUACUCUAACCUACGGGAGGAGGGCGCCGAAGG